rnacentral:rRNA from 1 species
AUGGCAGCUUAACUGUCAGGCUUUUAAGGGAUACUGUCAGGUUUGGGACCGGAAGAGGUAAGGGGUACUCCAGGGGUAGGAGUGAAAUCUUGUAAUCCCUGGGGGACCAUCUGUGGCGAAGGCGCCUUACCAGAACGGGUCCGACGGUGAGGGACGAAAGCUAGGGGAGCAAACCGGAUUAGAUACCCGGGUAGUCCUAGCUGUGAACGAUGCUCGCUAGGUGUCAGACACGGUGCGACCGUGUUUGGUGCCGCAGGGAAGCCGUUAAGCGAGCCACCUGGGAAGUACGGUCGCAAGGCUGAAACUUAAAGGAAUUGGCGGGGGAGCACUACAACGGGUGGAGCCUGCGGUUUAAUUGGAUUCAACGCCGGAAAACUCACCGGGUGCGACAGCAAUAUGUAGGUCAGGCUGAAGGUCUUACCUGAAUCGCUGAGAGGAGGUGCAUGGCCGUCGUCAGUUCGUACUGUGAAGCAUCCUGUUAAGUCUGGCAACGAGCGAGACCCGCGCCCACAGUUGCCAGCAUGUUCUCCGGAACGAUGGGUACACUGUGGGGACCGCCGCUGCUAAAGCGGAGAAAGGAACGGGCUACGGUAGGUCAGUAUGCCCCGAAUCUCCCGGGCUACACGCGGGCUACAAUGGUUGGGACAAUGGGCACCUACCCUGAAAAGGGACGGUAAUCUCCGAAACCCAACCGUAGUUCGGAUUGAGGGCUGUAACUCGCCCUCAUGAAGCUGGAAUCCGUAGUAAUCGCGUUUCAACAUAGCGCGGUGAAUACGUCCCUGCUC